rnacentral:rRNA from 1 species
UACGGAGGGUGCAAGCAUUAAUCGGAAUUAUUGGGCGUAAAGGGCGCGUAGGCGGAUUUCCAAGUCAGAUGUGAAAUUCCGAAGCUCAACUUCGGAGCUGCAUUUGAAACUGGAGACCUAGAGGGAUGGCGGAGAAAACGGAAUUCCACGUGUAGCGGUGAAAUGCGUAGAUAUGUGGAGGAACACCUGUGGCGAAAGCGGUUUUCUAGCUUAUACCUGACGCUGAGGCGCGAGAGCAAGGGGAGCAAACAGG